rnacentral:rRNA from 1 species
UACGAAGGGGGCUAGCGUUGCUCGGAAUCACUGGGCGUAAAGGGUGCGUAGGCGGGUCUUUAAGUCAGGGGUGAAAUCCUGGAGCUCAACUCCAGAACUGCCUUUGAUACUGAAGAUCUUGAGUUCGGGAGAGGUGAGUGGAACUGCGAGUGUAGAGGUGAAAUUCGUAGAUAUUCGGAAGAACACCAGUGGCGAAGGCGACUCACUGGACACGUAUUGACGCUGAGGUGCGAAAGCGUGGGGAGCAAACAGG